GCAUAUUAUUAUGACUUUUUCAGGGACUUGCUGUCCCGACGGUGCAAGCACAUUUUCCACAACUAAGACCACUUCCCUGCAAGGAUGCAGCCACGCUGAAGUCGACUCAAUGCGAGGCAAUAACCAGAAGCCAAGAAGCCCUCUUAUUUGCAGGUCUCUAUUUGUUCGCGUUUGGCAACAGCGGAGUAAAAGCAGCAUUGCCAUCCCUGGGAGCCGACCAAUUUGAUGAAAGGAACCCUCUGGAGGCACCUAAACUUGCCAGCUUCUUCAACUGGUUGUUAUUCUCCAUCACUACUGGAGCAAUGCUUGGGGUCACUUUUUUAGUAUGGAUAAGUGCAAAUCAGGGAUGGGAUUGGUCAUCUGGUGUUUGUACUAUUGCUGUAACAAUGAGACUUCUGUUCUUGCGCAUGGGAAGAUCAAUCUACCGAAAUAAUGUCCCCAAGGGCCCCUCCAUCCCCCAUAAUACAUCGGUUGAAGAGGUGAAGCAAGUUCCAAGUCCAAAGCCGAAGUUGUAAGUUGAUUCCAUUCGUGGAUUCGGAAACUGUGAGUCAAUUGAAAAAAAUAAUAACAAUGGAAUUUUGUGCCAAGACGACGGGCCAUCUUCUGAUCAACGAGAUCGAAGAUGGUUGCAGGAAGAAUAUGGUGUUAUCCCCGCUAUCAUUCGAUGCUGUACUCAGCAUGAUCGCUGCAGGAUCGACUGGAUUGACCUUGUACCAGAUGUCCAAGUUCUUGAAUGCAACAACCUUGAUCAUGUCAAUUCAAAGUUAAAAAACUUGACGAGCAUUGCAUCAUCAUCAACUGAUGAUCACAACACCACCAAUGGCAAUCAUGGUGGUGGUCCUGUUAUCUGUCUGGCGAACGGACUGUGGGCAGACAAACAAUACCCUCUAAAACCAUCGUAUCAAAGACUCGUUGAGAGAGUUCAUAAAGCCCAAGCCAAGAACGUGGACUUUGUUAACCAGGUAUGUUGAUUAUUUUUCUUUUGUUCUGGAAUUCACUUGGCUUUAUGGAGCUGUAUUGAAUCCUCUACUUCAGGACUGAUCCUGUCAACUCUCUCGACAAGACCAUUAGUUUUGGGGGUUAGGGUUUCCAGCUUCGAGUUGAACUUGGCAUGAUAAUGAUGACAUUGUCUUGUUUUUACUCCA